GACGAACGCUGGCGGCGUGCUUAACACAUGCAAGUCGAACGGUGAAGGGACCAGCUUGCUGGUUCUGGAUGAGUGGCGAACGGGUGAGUAACACGUGAGUAACCUGCCCCCUUCUUCUGGAUAACCGCAUGAAAGCGUGGCUAAUACGGGAUAUUCUGGGUCUGUCGCAUGGCGGGCCCGGGAAAGAUAUUGCUUCGGUGGGGGAUGGGCUCGCGGCCUAUCAGCGUGUUGGUGGGGUGAUGGCCUACCAAGGCGGUGACGGGUAGCCGGCCUGAGAGGGUGGACGGUCACACUGGGACUGAGACACGGCCCAGACUCCUACGGGAGGCAGCAGUGGGGAAUAUUGCACACUGGGCGCAAGCCUGAUGCAGCGACGCCGCGUGAGGGAUGGAGGCCUUCGGGUUGUAAACCUCUUUCGCCAGUGAAGCAGGCCUGCUCCUUGUGGGUGGGUUGACGGUAGCUGGAUAAGAAGCGCCGGCUAACUACGUG
rnacentral:rRNA from 1 species